GACGAACGCUGGCGGCGUGCUUAACACAUGCAAGUCGAACGGCAAGGCCCUGCUUUUGUGGGGUGCUCGAGUGGCGAACGGGUGAGUAACACGUGAGUAACCUGCCCUUGACUUUGGGAUAACUUCAGGAAACUGGGGCUAAUACCGGAUAGGAGCUCCUGCUGCAUGGUGGGGGUUGGAAAGUUUCGGCGGUUGGGGAUGGACUCGCGGCUUAUCAGCUUGUUGGUGGGGUAGUGGCUUACCAAGGCUUUGACGGGUAGCCGGCCUGAGAGGGUGACCGGCCACAUUGGGACUGAGAUACGGCCCAGACUCCUACGGGAGGCAGCAGUGGGGAAUAUUGCACAAUGGGCGGAAGCCUGAUGUAGCAACGCCGCGUGCGGGAUGACGGCCUUCGGGUUGUAAACCGCUUUCGCCUGUGACGAAGCGUGAGUGACGGUAAUGGGUAAAGAAGCACCGGCUAACUACGUG
rnacentral:rRNA from 1 species